rnacentral:lncRNA from 1 species
GGGUUUGGUUGGUUGGUUUUUUCUUUGCUCAAAAUGAACCCAACAGAGUGAACUGAGCAAGACCCACUAAGGGAAACCCUGAGAUGGAAAUAGGGUAGGAAGAGAAAUUUCAAAGUAAAAGCUGAAACUAAGUAAAAGAUCUCAUCUUUUCUUUGCCCUUAUGAAGAUGAAAGAAGGGAAUGAAGGAUGUUUUUCUCUCUUCUGGGUUUUUGCUUUUGGUGUGAAAUU